GCCGAAGAAGAGUCACUCAGAAGAAGAGGUACAUCUGUGAGUUGUUAUUUAUUUUAGUUCUAAGUAGCAGAAGGUUUACUCCCAGGAAGUGUCAUCAAAGACUUCAUAUUUGUUUCACUGUACAUCAAAGAAAGAGCAAUUUCAAAUAACAUGUCUGUCAGGUAGUAUCUUACUGGUGUGAACACAAACGAAUAAAAAAUGGCAUGUACACGAAGAUAUGUCAUGUAAUUUA